UUUGUCAGUAGUCCUUUCACCUGGAGCACAUGGAGCAAACAUGGGUUUGCGUCCUCAGAAGGCCGAUUAAGUCAUAGACUCCAGAUGCGCUCAAAGGGAAAAAGAGAUUUGAUCCAGUCGAGGUAGACCGCAUCCUUGGAGGACGCUGCCCAUGAAUUUGAACACAGUGGGAGCUGCAACAUGUGUGGUUAAGUGGUUUGCUAAUAAUCCAAUUUUGGACCUGGUCAAUCAGUGAAAUUACUCAAUAACUGCUACAGUAAAGGGGAGCCAGGAUGCCAGGGAAGUGGGGAUAUGUGACUUUCCACCCUGACUGUACUUUUUGUUAACCUUGAUU